UUCUCUGUGUUAAAGGCAUGAAUGCUGUAAAAUUAACAACUAAACGUUACGCUUUCAAAACGAUUGUUUCACUGAGAAAAAUGUCAAAAUAAAAAUAAUUUUUAGUUGAAUCAUUUGGUCGAUGAAAUUGAAAAGGAAAGAUCAUUUGGCAACGGAAACUGAUUCAUUUACUGAGAAACCGAAAGGUCAUUUUGCUGCACGACAACGCUACAUGUUGUUUUUUGUACUCACAAGGAAAGAUUCAGGUACCAAUAAGUCAAAGGAGUUACCAAAUUUUAAAGUUUGGAAUAACCACACAUGUAACGGAGCAAAUGGCCGAGGAUGGACUGUGGCAUCUAGUCAUAGCGCCUAUUGUGAGCUCAAAAAUAUUGAAAACUCACUUUGAUUCCCUCACAAAUCUUGAUAAAAUCCGAGAGGAUAUCUAGUUCCCUUGUUAGAAAUUAUGAUUACAUAUUCGCCGAGAUUCAGCCAUUUUUCUGAUAUCCAUAACACGUGCAAUAAUUUCGAACUUUAAAACUUUAUAAUUUUAAUCUUUUAGCCCUAAGCCCAACAGCACUUGAAUAUUAUACAUAUUAUUUUUACAAACUCUAUCUGAAUAUUAAACUAUAUAGCUUAAUAUCAAACUUUCCAAAAUUCACAUAAUACAUACCUGUGAGAGCUCUCCUUAUCAGCAUAUAAUUUUUAACUUGGACCAAAAAGUUCUCUUGCAUGCAAUAUAUUCAUCCGCCUUCGAAUUACUUAUUCCAAUCAACACAGCAUUCUUCAGAUGGACAGCACUUUCAAGAUAUAGCUGA